rnacentral:rRNA from 1 species
CACGUAGGGACCAAGCGUUGUCCGGAUUUAUUGGGCGUAAAGAGCUCGUAGGCGGCUUGGUAAGUCGGGGGUGAAAGUCAGCGGCUCAACCGCUGGACUGCCUUCGAGACUGCCUGGCUUGAGCAUGGUAGAGGCUGGCGGAAUUCCCGGUGUAGCGGUGGAAUGCGUAGAGAUCGGGAAGAACAUCGGUGGCGAAGGCGGCCAGCUGGGCCAUUGCUGACGCUGAUGCGCGACAGCGUGGGGAGCAAACAGG